ensembl:lncRNA
AGAAGGAGGAGAGCAGAGAAAAGCAGGUGAAUAUUUGUAUCCUUAAGAGGCAGGUAAUAUAGCUGGUAAAGUUCUUGUCUAAUUUCUGAUGUUGGCCCAGUGGAGUUCUCCAAGGGGAAAGCAGCAACAAAGGAUAAGGAGGGAUCCUUGAGGGGUGAAUUUAGUCCUAUUCCAGUGCUGGCUAGUGGCACAAGCUACCAGCAUGACUCCAGGGCAGAUACUGAAUUUCCUCCAACCAUUGUUCCCUGUUUGUUAAAGAAGAGAUCUUUUCAGGUAUAAUACUUAUUUCCAGCUACCUAAAGGCCAAGCAGGUAAUAUAAAUGAGUGAAGUCAGCUGCAAAUUAAGCAGAAGCAUGAGCUGCUGAGCUCACGCCCCUUCUGACAAGAGUCAGAUGUUUCUUCUUGAAAGUGCACCAAACAAACGAAGUGAAUCUGCAGCUACGUUAAACCCAGGAUGGACUAUCCCUAGUUAUCCUUCCAGUUCAUAGCCAUAACUUCUAAUUUUGGGUUCAUUUGUCACUGGGGAUCAACGUCUUUGUUGCCUGCUGGUAUUGGACCAGAAUCAGGAAGAGAUUAAGCAAACUCAAUAGAAGAGGUAUUAAACUUGUUUGUUUAUAAGAACAAUGGCCCCCCUAAGCAACAAGUAAGAAUUUGGUGAUUAGAUGCCAAGGUCAAGGAAGAAACACAAUUAACUAAAUCCUAUCAUUGAAUAGAAUCCAUGUACAUUCUGCAGCACUCUAGAAGACUGAGGAAAAAGGUUUGCAGAUUUGAGCCCAGCCUUGGCAAUUUAGCAACUUGAGAAGAUCCUGUCUUGGAUAGCCAGAAGAAAGAGGAAACAAAUCUCGAGAAUAUCUGGUCCUGUUUCAGUUUUGCUUAGAAAUGGCAACCCUAGUCUUAAGGACAAAGUUGAUCAACUGAGCUUCCAGGCUUCCCUACAAUAAAGGAGAUCAAAGUAGAUAGGGAACACAGUCAUCAGGCCCAGAUGUUUUGAAUUAGUCAGGAGGACUUGGUUUUACCCGUGCUGUUAAGUAUGGCAAUCAUGAACUGAUUACCUUUACUGACAUUUUAAGAGCAGCUGGUCUGAACACAAAUGAAGAAUUGGAGUUUACACCUUUCAGAGCCAUUUCUAUGAAUACUUCCUUCCUAAUGAUGCGUUUCUUCACAAAGCUUCAGAGUUGUUAGAGCUCUUUAUAGAGCCAGCUCCAAAAGUGGCCCCAGAGAUAAAUGGGCAGCUACUAUUACAAAGCCCGGUAAACACUAGAGAUGUCAGAGUGAAGUGGCUUUAUUAAGACACUUGUUUCUGCUUAGGUUCUAAAUUGUUUAUAAGAGGAAGGAAAAGUAACAAUUUAAAGCCAGAAACUUUACUGCCUCAUUUUUGCAUGCUAGGGGAAGUAGAAUCUCUCACAGGGGAGACAGCUUCUUAUUCAGGAUUUUACCUUGCUGGGACACUAAAUGGGAAAUGUGACCUGCUCCUUCCUUCGCCAGGCUUUAUGUUUCCACAGGAGAAACAGAAAGGAAGCUGGAUCAGUGAUCUGAACAUAAGAGGAGUAAAAUGUGGGAAUGAGGGCCUGGGAAAAGACAACGAGGAAAGUCAGAGGAGAGGCUUUGGAGAAGAGACAGCAGAGACAGCAGCUGCUCAUGGCUGGUGGUGGGAGAGCCAUUGGCCACUCUUAUGCUUGUCCCUGCUUCUGUUCACCACAGCCGUAGGGCUACUAGGAGGAAUUCGGGACAAGUACAAAGAAGGCAAGCUUGCUUUCUACAUGUCACGCCCUACUGUCAUGGAGGUAUGGACAAAGUACAGUGGAAACAUCAAGAACCAACCAAUCAGCCCUGGCACGGGGAGUCUGGAGGUCACCAAGAAGGGGAUAGAUGGGAAGGUGCUUACCAACUGGAGCAGGAACAGCAGGCUGAGCAUUCUGUGAGGAUACAGCCUAUGCAAGCCACUCAGGUUUGAAAGGACCUGAGCAGUUUAGAGAAAAGUCAAAUUUUGAUGGCUUUUUUUGUUCAAGCUAAACUUUUUUCUUUACUGCUUAAAAAAAAUAAGCAACAAAAAAAUGAAUAUGAAGAGGACAGGGCAUAAACAGAUUUUUGUCAUAAUAAGGCUUGAGGUGUGCCUUCCAACCACUUAUCUAUUCAAUAAAUGUCCACCAAGCUCUUAGAUGCCAGGACUAUGCUAGGCAGGGAGAAUUUAGUGAUCAACCAACAGAAUGGAUCUUAUUGUCAGGGCACUUACAGCUUGGCUAGGAGAUUGAUGUGAAAAAAUCAUCACAAUAAGCAAAGUUUAACUAUAAGUGGUGGAAAAUUCUAUGUAGGAAAGUCAAGCAUUAGUGUGACAGAAUUUAAAGGGAGACCUCACUUUGACUAGGGUUGGGUCAGAGUCAGGUCAGUAGGGCUUCCAGGUGAAACUCGAUGGAUGAUUAAGUACUAACCAAGCUGAGAGGGUUGUCAGGGCUGUGGAGCUUAGGAACUAGAAGGUUACCAAUCAAUUAGUAAGCGAUUCUAAUGGGCCAUGCAGAUUGCUGAUAGCCCAGCUACAAAAAUUCAAGGCUUGGUCUGUGUUAGCCACCGAUGCUACCUCUAGCUCUGACAUUUGAUAGCAAGAAUCUGCUAUAGCUAGGACAUUGUACUAGGUGCUGACUAGAAAAGUAAUAAACAUAUGUAAGAUAUAGCUCCUCAACAGAGUGAUAGUCCAACAAAUUGGACAUUUGAUGGAGGUUUACAGCUUAGCUACAUAUAUAUUAUGUUUAUAGGGCCUUAAAAAGAUUCCUAUAAAAGAGCAGAGAGACGCUGUUAAGGUCCCUUGCUUGCUUGCUUUUGGUGUCUUCUACUUGCCAUGAACUUCUCCUCUGUGAUGCCCCUCUGCUAAGGCACCCUGCCUUGGAGCCAGCUGAUUAUGGACUGAAACCUCCACAAACUGUGAGCUAAAUCUUACCCCCUUUAAAAAAAACAGAUUCUUAUAACACUUUUCAUUAUUUGUUGUUGAAAUUAUAGAAUGAUCUAUCACUCCCAGAACCCAACUUCUGCUUCCUAAGUUUCUUCUUUUGGAUCAACUCUUAUUUAAAGCUAAAUAGUCACAAAAGGAAAGAAGGGAAAAGAAUAAAUAUGAGAAAAGAAAAAAUGGAAACAAAGUCUUUGUAAAUGGGGGGGGGGGUGAACAGGUUGAAGGGUGGGAAGGGGAAUGGGGAAAAAAUAAGAACCAAGAUAUAUUAUGUAAAGGUAUAAAUUCCCAACAAUGAAUGUCAGCAUAUUGUAUACCUAAAAUGUAC